rnacentral:rRNA from 1 species
AGUGAACGCUGGCGGUAGGCCUAACACAUGCAAGUCGAACGGCAGCACAGUAAGAGCUUGCUCUUACGGGUGGCGAGUGGCGGACGGGUGAGGAAUACAUCGGAAUCUACUUUUUCGUGGGGGAUAACGUAGGGAAACUUACGCUAAUACCGCAUACGACCUACGGGUGAAAGCAGGGGAUCCUCGGACCUUGCGCGAUUGAAUGAGCCGAUGUCGGAUUAGCUAGUUGGCGGGGUAAAGGCCCACCAAGGCGACGAUCCGUAGCUGGUCUGAGAGGAUGAUCAGCCACACCGGAACUGAGACACGGUCCAGACUCCUACGGGAGGCAGCAGUGGGGAAUAUUGGACAAUGGGCGCAAGCCUGAUCCAGCCAUACCGCGUGGGUGAAGAAGGCCUUCGGGUUGUAAAGCCCUUUUGUUGGGAAAGAAAAGCAGCAGGUUAAUACCCCGCUGUUCUGACGGUACCCAAAGAAUAAGCACCGGCUAACUUCGUG